AUUGAACGCUGGCGGCAGGCCUAACACAUGCAAGUCGAGCGGAGCGGAGGACGGGUGAGGAAUGCCUAGGAAUCUGCCUGGUAGUGGGGGAUAAAGUCAGGAAACGGGCGCUAAUACUGCAUACUAUCAGAUGAGACUAGGUCGGAUCAGCUAGUUGGUGGGGUAAAGGCAUACCAAGGCGACGAUCCGUAACUGGUCUGAGAGUAUGAUCAGUCACACUGGAACUGAGACACGGUCCAGACUCCUACGGGAGGCAGCAGUGGGGAAUAUGGGACAAGGGGCGAAAGCCUGAUCCAGCCAUGCCGCGUGUAUGAAGAAGGUCUUCGGAUUGUAAAGCACUUUAAGUUGGGAGGCGUUACCAACAGAAUAAGCACCGGCUAACUUCGUGCCAGCCGCCGCGGUAAUAC
rnacentral:rRNA from 1 species